rnacentral:lncRNA from 1 species
CAGAGUGAAUGAGAUAUUCACAAGAAAUUCAGUCUUGUGGGGAAAUCAUUCUAAAUUCUUGUCUUUUCUUUAUGGGAAAGGGAAGAGAAAUAGUGAAGAGUCUUAAAAAUUAGUUAAAUCUACUAAACAAUUUAUUAAAAUAGAGUUACCAUAUGAUCCAGCAAUCCCCUUCCUGGGCUUAUAUCCAGAAAAGAUGAUAACUCUAAUUGGAAAAGAUACGUGAACCUCAGUGUUAACAGCAGCACUAUUUACAGUAGCCAAGACAUGGAAGCAACUUACAUGGCCAUCAACAGAAGACUAGAUAAAGAAGAUAUGGUACAUAUAUAAUGGAAUAUUACUCAGCCAUAAAAAGUAAUGAAAUAAUGCCAUUUGCAACAACAAAUGGAUGGACCCAGAGAUGAUCGUACUAAGUAAAGUAAGUCAGACAGAGAAAGAUCAAUAUUACAUAUUAUCACUUGCAUGUAGAAUCUUAAAAAAUGAUACAAAUGACCUUAUUUACAAAAAAAAUAGACUUACAGACAUAGAAAACAUACUUAAGGUUACCAAAAGGGAAAAUCGUGGAGAAAUAAAUUAGAAGUUUGGAUUAACAGAUUAUUACUACAUGUAAAAUAAACAACAAGGAUCCAUUGUGUAGCAAAAGGAACUAUAUUCAAUAUCUUGUAAUAAUGUGGGACAAGAAAAAAAGAAAUAGCAAUUCACUAAGCUGCUUGGAGAAAGAAGGGCAGUUUCUUCUUUUUUUUUUUUCACUCUGACUCAAUUCUGCUGACCUAGGGCCAAAGAUGCCUAGGGGAAGACCAGAACUUACAAAUGGCAGCAGCCAUGAGCAGGGAGUAAGGCAGUGACUCUGGAUGUAAAAUUAGAAGCGCCAAAGCUGUUUGAAGGCAGCCAGGAAGUUUGCCAAGCUAUGAAAACCUCAGUGCUUACUGCCUUUACAUGCUCCAUCUGGUAUGGGGACAGUGGCAAUGUUUACCUUUAAUGUUUUUUAUUUUGAAACUUCAAACACUUUGUCAUUGAUUUUUGCCAAUCAUUUGUUUCAAAUGAUUGGCAUUAAAUUACUGAAGGGUAAUUUUUAGUGCAUCUUAGGGCCAAGAGUUUUCCUUGGAGAUGACAGCUGGAAGUCGAGGGAAAUUAGGCUUACCUGAAAUAAUUUGAUCUGUUAGAGAGCUUUUCCCCACUGUGUCCAUUCAAAGCCUACCUGCAUUUCAUAACCCCCGUGGAAAGGGAAUAAUUAUUUGACAAAACCUCCCAGCACAUGCUGAACAUCAUGGUAAAAAGAGCAUGACAUGUAGUAAAAUUGCUAAGCAAGGAGUUUAGAGCUUCCUCCCCUAUCACUUGCGUCACCCGGAUGACGUCCCGGGUCCAAUAUAAAUUUCUGUUGGGAGGGAAGGAAAGCAAACCUUGCAGAAGGCACACACUUUAUUUGAAGUCUCAGGGCACUUAGAAACUGUCUCAUGAGUAGAAGGAGGUUUAAUUGCAAGAGUGAUGAAUUUGGAGGGUUGACAGGGAACAAGAAUGGCAAGGAAGAGAGUUUCUACAUGGUCUGAAUUUUACACCUCAGCUAGAUUUAGCUAAGAGAAAGUCAGCAUCUUAACCUAGUCCUAUAUUCCUGCCGCUGGUAAAGGAAGAUUCCAUUAACUUGGUUAAUUUCCAAAGCACGAGCAGCUUCUAUGAACUCCAUCUGCCAGCUGAUGUUUAUACAUGGAGAGUUUUUUAGUUCCCUUGUAGAGUCCCAAAUAAUACUUUAGACAGUAUUUUAAUGUAGGGUGACAUUGUCAGACACUGUUUUAUAGGUUCAUGAUACCAUUUGCCAUUAACCAUGACCAAAUAGGCUGAACACCCGUGAACAUGGGGGGGGGGCAAAAUGCUGGUCUUCUGACUUAGGAGAAUAAUGUCUGAGAUACCAAGAGAAGAACAGGAAAAAAUCUAACACCUCAUUAAAUAUAAUGUUAUUACACAGUGAUUUUUUUUUAUGUAACUAACUCUGAAUCAGAACAUCCAAUAAAUUUUACACAGGGUGAAUGUACUUCUAUAAAACCAUGAUCUUUCCUGAGCCGUAGGAUGCUGACUAAAAUGCAGGGGUGAAGAACGUAAGAAGUGACGUGCAGCAGAAAUUGCCUCAGGGAAGUGUUGCCUUCAGCUUAGACCCUUGUGUAGAGAAAUAAAACAAAAGUCAGGAGACUUGGAUGUUGGCCUUUUUUCAUUCUCAGCUGAAGGAUGAGCAAGGUACUAAAUUCUUCUCUGGGCUGCUUCUUCCGUAACAUGGUUUUAAUAACUACACUUAGCAUUAUUGUAGAGACUACAUUGGAAAAAUAAAGCAAGACAUCCAGUAUAAUACCUGACAUACUGACACUUAAUAAGGUGGUCUUUGCUCUUUCUUUAGCCUUAAUGUAGAAAACAAGGAUAAGAAUGCUUAUUUUGUACCUUCCCCUAAGCACUCCCUCUGUCCAGCCAGAGAUUCUUCUGGGAAACCCUACCCCACUCCCACUUCUUCUUCUUCUUCUUCUUUUUUCUUGGAAGCUUCAACUU